rnacentral:rRNA from 1 species
GGAUUAGAUACCCUGGUAGUCCACGCCGUAAACGAUGUCUACUAGUUGUCGGUGGUCUUGUACUGCUGGUAACGCAGCUAACGCGAUAAGUAGACCGCCUGGGGAGUACGGCCGCAAGGUUAAAACUCAAAUGAAUUGACGGGGGCCCGCACAAGCGGUGGAGCAUGUGGUUUAAUUCGAAGCAACGCGAAGAACCUUACCUGGCCUUGACAUCCUGCGAACUUUCUAGAGAUAGAUUGGUGCCUUCGGGAACGCAGAGACAGGUGCUGCAUGGCUGUCGUCAGCUCGUGCC